ACGAACGCUGGCGGCGUGCUUAACACAUGCCAGUCGAACGGAAAGGCCCUGCUUUUGUGGGGUGCUCGAGUGGCGAACGGGUGAGUAACACGUGAGUAACCUGCCCUUGACUUUGGGAUAACUUCAGGAAACUGGGGCUAAUACCGGAUAGGAGCUCCUGCUGCAUGGUGGGGGUUGGAAAGUUUCGGCGGUUGGGGAUGGACUCGCGGCUUAUCAGCUUGUUGGUGGGGUAGUGGCUUACCAAGGCUUUGACGGGUAGCCGGCCUGAGAGGGUGACCGGCCACAUUGGGACUGAGAUACGGCCCAGACUCCUACGGGAGGCAGCAGUGGGGAAUAUUGCACAAUGGGCGGAAGCCUGAUGCAGCAACGCCGCGUGCGGGAUGGCGGCCUUCGGGUUGUAAACCGCUUUCGCCUGUGACGAAGCGUGAGUGACGGUAAUGGGUAAAGAAGCACCGGCUAACUACGUG
rnacentral:rRNA from 1 species